rfam:Pantoea sp. AS1 26__len__173718, whole genome shotgun sequence.
AUAUUCUUCGGUGAGAGGGGUAUGAGAACCCCCGCCGGGGUUCGACAACGGGCGCAGCCCGUUGGACAGCGGAGCCUGCGACGCUGCCCGCAGGGCGAGCGCAGCGAGUCAAUCCCCCUCUCACCGCCA